GACGAACGCUGGCGGCGUGCUUAACACAUGCAAGUCGAACGAAGUGGCGAACGGGUGAGUAAUACGUGGGUAACCUGCCCUCCUCUUGGGGAUAAGCCUUGGAAACGGGGUCUAAUAACGAAUAAUGGGGGAUGGGCUUGCGGCCUAUCAGCUUUGUGGGGGGGUGAUGGCCUACCAAGGCGGUGACGGGUAGCCGGCCUGGGAGGGUGAACGGACAAAUUGAGGGUGGGAUACGGGCCUGAUGCCUACAGGUGGCAGCUGUGGGGGUUAUUGCACAAUGGGCGAAAUGCUGAUGCACCGAGGCCUCGUGGGGGAUGAAUGGUUUCGGGUGGUAAAGCUCUUUCGCAAUGGAACGGGUAGGUGGAGAAGAAGCGCCGGCUAACUUCGUGCCAGCCGUGGCGGUAAUUC
rnacentral:rRNA from 1 species